CAGGCUAUAGAAGAGUUCAAAAAGGGGAAAGUAGAAUUCAGAGCAGACAAAACUGGGAUUGUUCACAUCCCCUUUGGGAAAGUUAAUUUUACAGAGGAUGACCUUCUCAUAAACUUCCUUGCGGCAGUGAAAUCGGUGGAGACAAACAAGCCAAAGGGAGCAAAAGGAGUUUACUGGAAAAGUGCGCACAUAUGCUCGUCAAUGGGGCCAUCCAUCAAGUUGAACAUAAGGGAGAUGAUAGACUUCAAACCUCCAGCUGCGAACUAACCAGCAACCACAUUUGUAAAUGGGGUCCUUUUGGGAGAUAGGCAAUGCUUGAGUGUAGACGAGAGGAGUCUAGUCUGUUAGUUAUCUUUCACACCUCACUGGUUUUGUAUAACUAUGAUGGGCAUUUGCUUAUUUAUUGUCUUUAUAUAUU